ensembl:lncRNA
CGCGCGAUGCAACCUCGCAGCGGUGCAGAAACACUUGCGUGCACGGUGCGACCUUGCAGCGGUGCAGACGCGGUUGCAUGCACGGUGCGACCUUGCAGCGAUGCAGGCACAUUUGCACGCACGGUGCAACCUUGCAGCGAUGCAAAAGUGUUUGCAUGCAGUUUGCAACCUUGCAGCGAUGCAAAAGUGUUUGCCCGCACGGUGCAACCUUGCAGCGAUGCAAAAGUGUUUGCAUGCAGCUUGCAGCCUUGCAGCGAUGCAGACGCGCUUGCCCACACGACGCGAGCCUGCAGCGAUGCAAAGACAUUUGCACGCGCGGUGCAACCCUGCAGCAAUGCAAAAGCAGUCGCGUGCAUGGCGCAACUUUGCAGCUACGCAAAAACAUUUGCAUGCACGGUGCCACCUCACAGCAAUGCAAACGCACUUGCACGCCUGGUGCGACCUUGCAGUGAUGCAGAUGCGUUCGCAUGCACAAUGCAGCCUUGCAGCAAUGCAAACGCGUUUGCCUGCAGAUUGCAACCUUGCAGCAAUGCAAACGCACUUGCACGCACGAUGCAGCCUCACAGCAACGCAAACACGCUCGCACACACGGUGCAACAUUGCAGCAAUGCAAACACACUUAUAUGCACGGUGCAACCUUGCAGCAACGCAAACGCACUUGCACACGCACUGCAACCUCAGCAACGCAAACACACUCGCAUGCACGAUGCAAUCUCGCAGCAAUGCAAACACGCUUGCAUGCACGAUGCAGCCUUGCAGCAACGCAAACACACUCGCACCCUGCAACCUCGCAGCCAUGCAAAAGCAGUUGCAUGCAAGAUGCAACCUUGCAGCAAUGCAAACACGCUUUGCACGCACGAUGCAACCUUGCAGCCAUGCAAAAGCAGUUGCAUGCAAGAUGCAACCUCGCAGCAAUGCAAACACGCUUUGCACGCACGAUGCAACCUUGCAGCCAUGCAAAAGCAGUUGCAUGCAAGAUGCAACCUCGCAGCCAUGCAAACACGGUUGCGCNUUGCAGCAACGCAAACGCACUUGCACACGCACUGCAACCUCAGCAAUGCAAACACACUCGCAUGCACAAUGCAACCUUGCAGCCAUGCAAACGUGCUUUGCACGCACGAUGCAACCUUGCAGCUAUGCAAACGCGCUUUGCACGCAUGUUGCAACCUCGCAGCAACGCAAAAGCAGUUGCACGGUGCAACCUUGCAGCAACGCAAAAGCAGUUGCACGGUGCAACCUUGCAGCAACGCAAACGUACUUAUAUGCACGAUGCAACCUCGCAGCAAUGCAAAAGCAGUUGCAUGGUGCAACCUCGCAGCCAUGCAAACGCGGUCGCACACACGAUGCAACCUCGCAGCAAUGCAAACACGCUUUGCACGCACGAUGCAACCUUGCAGCCAUGCAAAUGCGGUUGCACACACGAUGCAACCUCGCAGCCAUGCAAACACGGUUGCGCACACGAUGCAACCUUGCAGCAAUGCAAAAUCGCUUGCACCCUGCAACCUCGCAGCCAUGCAAACGCGCUUUGCACGCACGAUGCAACCUCGCAGCAAUGCAAAAUCGCUUGCACCCUGCAACCUUGCAGCCAUGCAAACGCGCUUUGCAUGCACGAUGCAACCUCGCAGCCAUGCAAACGCGGUUGCGCGCUGCAACCUCGCGGCGGCGCGAGCGCGUUGGGGUGCAAACGUGCCGGUGCCCCCCCCCCCGGCGCAGGGACGGGCGCUUUGUGGAGCGGACGCUGCGGCUGGCGGGGACGCAGCCGCUGGAGGUGCUCGAGGCGCUGCACCGCAGCCUGGUGGCCGAGCGGCCCCGCGCCUGGGCCGACUGCGUCGCCU